ACCCUUCAAAGAGUGCGUAACAGCUCACUAGUCGAGUGACCCUGCGCCGAAAAUGUACCGGGGCUAAGCAUACUACCGAAGCUGCGGAUUUGUAGUAAUACAAGUGGUAGGGGAGCGUUCCAUACUGCGUAGAAGUCAGAUCGUAAGGACUGAUGGAGUGUAUGGAAGUGAGAAUGCCGGUGUGAGUAGCGAGAUGUAGGUGAGAAUCCUACACACCGAUAGCCCAAGGGUUCCAGGGGAAGGUUCGUCCGCCCUGGGUAAGUCGGGACCUAACGCGAGGCCGAAAGGCGUAGUGGAUGGAAAACAGGCAGAUAUUCCUGUACCCGCGAUGGAAGUGAAGGAAUGACGGAGAAGGCUAGUGUGACCCACUGAAUGGAUUGUGGGCGAAGCGAAUAGCAGGACGGCAGUGAAAUGCGUCGUCGGAAUGUAAAACGUGACAGGUAAGGGAACGUCUACGGACAAGUACCGAAGCACAUGAGGCCAGCUUCCAGGAAAAGUUUCUAGCGUUGAUUCCAUAGCGGCCCGUACCAAAACCGACACAGGUGGGCAAGGAGAGGAUCCUGAGGUGAGCGAGAGAACUGUUGCCAAGGAACUCGGCAAAAUGACUCCGUAAGUUAGCGAUAAGGAGUGCUCUUGUAAAAGAGAGCCGCAGUGAAGAGGCCCAAGCGACUGUUUAACUAAAACACAGCUCUCUGCAAAGUCGCAAGACGAAGUAUAGGGGGUGACGCCUGCCCGGUGCUGGAAGGUUAAAAGGAUCUGUGAAUCGCAAGAGGAAGCAGUGAACUGAAGCCCCAGUGAACGGCGGCCGUAACUAUAACGGUCCUAAGGUAGCGAAAUUCCUUGUCAGGUAAGUUCUGACCCGCACGAAAGGCGUAACGAUUUGGGCGCUGUCUCGGCAGCAGACUCGGUGAAAUCUUAGUACCUGUGAAAAUGCAGGUUACCCGCAACUAGACGGAAAGACCCCAUGGAGCUUUACUGUAGCCUGAUAUUGAGUUUUGAUCAAAGAUGUACAGGAUAGGUGGGAGGCGAAGAGACGUGUACGCCAGUAUACGAGGAGCCGCUGUUGGGAUACCACUCUUGUUUGAUUGAAAUUCUAACCUGCAUCCAUGAACUGGAUGAGGGACCGUGUCAGGUGGGCAGUUUGACUGGGGCGGUCGCCUCCUAAAGAGUAACGGAGGCGCCCAAAGGUACGCUCAGAUUGGAUGGAAAUCAAUCGACGAGUGCAAAUGCAGAAGCGUGCUUGACUGCGAGAGAAACAACUCGAGCAGGGACGAAAGUCGGGAUUAGUGAUCCGGCGGUGCCGAAUGGAAGGGCCGUCGCUCAACGGAUAAAAGCUACCCUGGGGAUAACAGGCUGAUCUCGCCCAAGAGUUCACAUCGACGGCGAGGUUUGGCACCUCGAUGUCGGCUCAUCGCAUCCUGGAGCUGAAUUCGGUUCCAAGGGUUGGGCUGUCCGCCCAUUAAAGCGGUACGCGAGCUGGGUUCAGAACGUCGUGAGACAGUUCGGUCCCUAUCUGUUGUGGGCGAAGGAAAUUUGAGGAGAGCUGUCCUUAGUACGAGAGGACCGGGAUGGACCUACCGCUGGUGCACCAGUUGUUCCGCCAGGAGCAUAGCUGGGUAGCUAAGUAGGGAAGGGAUAAGCGCUGAAAGCAUCUAAGCGCGAAGCCCCCUCCAAGAUGAGAUUUCCCAUUCU
rnacentral:rRNA from 1 species